ACCCUGUUAGACACACGGCUCCCCAGGCCAGACAUCAGCGUUUCAGGACGACGCAGGCUUAACUCAGAGGGAGGAAGGACACAGUUCCCUAAUUGCUAAGAUGUUUCUCACUUCCGUCGAGUCAGGAGCUCAUUGUUCAACAAAGCAGCAUUUGGUUUCUGCCCUGCUCCACCUCGAGGCUCCCUGGGAUCAGGGAAGAGCAUCUCCCCUCCCUUCUUGUCCCAGGAAGUGAAGCUGGAUUCUUCCAAUCAGGAUCCAACCAGCGGGUCUGUCCUCCUGGAGAAGGUGCGUGUGUGCACACACCUGAGUGCCGAAGAGUGUUUUUCCUUAAAGGCUGUGCGAGGGAGGAGAGGUCUUCCAGAUGUGGAAGGGAAGAGAGAGCGAAGGACAGGCGCAGAGGCAAACCACUCGUACCUCAUGCCCAGGCUCUGAGCUGGGCCUUCCCUGAGGCCCGUGCAGCAGAACUUGUGGGCACGGGCAGUGUGACACAGCCAGCAUCGCACAAAGGGCCAAUGUUCCAGACUCAAGACAUGACCGGGAGAAAAAGAGAGCACAAGGAGGGGGAGCUGCAGGCAGAGGCAGAGGGAGAAGCAGACUCCCCACUGAGCAGGGAG